GAUGAAGAACGCAGUGAAAUGCGAUAAGUAGUGUGAAUUGCAGAAUUCAGUGAAUCAUCGAAUCUUUGAACGCACAUUGCGCCCGCCAGUAUUCUGGCGGGCAUGCCUGUCUGAGCGUCAUUUCAACCCUCAUGCCCCUAGGGCGUGGUGUUGGGGAUCGGCCAAAGCCCGCGAGGGACGGCCGGCCCCUAAAUCUAGUGGCGGACCCGUCGUGGCCUCCUCUGCGAAGUAGUGAUAUUCCGCAUCGGAGAGCGACGAGCCCCUGCCGUUAAACCCCCAACUUUCCAAGGUUGACCUCAGAUCAGGUAGGAAUACCCGCUGAACUUAAGCAUAUCAAUAAGCGGAGGA
rnacentral:misc_RNA from 1 species